GCGGCUGUAGCUCAACGGGGCGAAAGCUAAGAGUGCCCGACUGUGACUCGGGAGACGGGGGUUCGACUCCCCUCAGCCGCCCCA
rnacentral:tRNA from 1 species